UCGGAUCGCAGGCUGCAACCCGCCUGCGUGAAGUUGGAAUCGCUAGUAAUCGCGGAUCAGAAUGCCGCGGUGAAUACGUUCCCGGGUCUUGUACACACCGCCCGUCACACCAUGGGAGUCGGGAAUGCCCGAAGUCAGUGGCCCAACCGGAAGGGGGGAGCUGCCGAAGGCAGGCCCGGUGACUGGGGUGAAGUCGUAACAAGGUAGC
rnacentral:rRNA from 1 species